AGAGUUUGAUCCUGGCUCAGAUUGAACGCUGGCGGCAUGCCUUACACAUGCAAGUCGAACGGUAACAGGGAGCUUGCUCCGCUGACGAGUGGCGAACGGGUGAGUAAUAUAUCGGAACGUACCUUUGAGUGGGGGAUAACUAGUCGAAAGAUUAGCUAAUACCGCAUACGAUCUACGGAUGAAAGUGGGGGAUCGCAAGACCUCAUGCUCAUAGAGCGGCCGAUAUCUGAUUAGCUAGUUGGUGAGGUAAAGGCUCACCAAGGCUUCGAUCAGUAGCUGGUCUGAGAGGACGACCAGCCACACUGGGACUGAGACACGGCCCAGACUCCUACGGGAGGCAGCAGUGGGGAAUAUUGGACAAUGGGCGCAAGCCUGAUCCAGCCAUGCCGCGUGAGUGAUGAAGGCCCUAGGGUUGUAAAGCUCUUUUGUGCGGGAAGAUAAUG
rnacentral:rRNA from 1 species